rnacentral:tRNA from 1 species
GAAGCGUAGUUUAUUAAAAUACUUGUUUGUCAGGCAAGAGAUUCUCAUGAGAGGGGCUUCUUU